rnacentral:rRNA from 1 species
GGCGUUAAGGCUACUGUACCGUGUGCUGCGGAAGGAUCAUUA